GGGAUUGCCUCAGUAACGGCGAGUGAAGCGGCAACAGCUCAAAUUUGAAAUCUGGCUCCUUCGGGGUCCGAGUUGUAAUUUGUAGAGAGUGCUUCGGGGGAGAUGCGGUCUAAGUCCAUUGGAACAUGGCGUCCUAGAGGGUGAGAAUCCCGUAUGUGACCGUGGCUCGAACCCAUGUGAAGCCUCUUCGACGAGUCGAGUUGUUUGGGAAUGCAGCUCAAAAUGGGUGGUAAAUUUCAUCUAAAGCUAAAUACUGGCUGGAGACCGAUAGCGCACAAGUAGAGUGAUCGAAAGAUGAAAAGCACUUUGGAAAGAGAGUUAAAAAGUACGUGAAAUUGUUGAAAGGGAAGCGCUGGCAACCAGACCUGCCCGUAGGCGAUCAGCCGCUGUUCUCAGCGGUGCACUCGCUCUGCGAUCAGGCCAGCAUCGGUUCCGGCGGUCGGAUAAAGGCCUUGGGAAUGUACCUUCCCUUCGGGGGAGUCUUAUAGCCCUUGGUGCAAUGCGGCCAGCCGGGACCGAGGACCGCGCUUCGGCUAGGAUGCUGGCGUAAUGGUUGUCAGCGACCCGUCUUGAAACACGGACCAAGGAGUCUAACAUCUAUGCGAGUGUUUGGGUGUUAAACCCAUGCGCGGAAUGAAAGUGAACGGAGGUGAGAACCCUUAAGGGCGCAUCAUCGACCGAUCCAGAUGUCUUCGGAUGGAUUUGAGUAUGAGCAUAGCUGUUGGGACCCGAAAGAUGGUGAACUAUGCCUGAAUAGGGUGAAGCCAGAGGAAACUCUGGUGGAGGCUCGCAGCGGUUCUGACGUGCAAAUCGAUCGUCAAA
rnacentral:rRNA from 1 species